UCGUUUGAGCCCAGCAGGCAGAGGUGGCAGUGAGCCAAGAUCAUGCCACUGUGCUGCAGCCUGGGUGACAGUGAGACCCUGUCUUUAAAAAUAAAGGGUGGGGGGGAAGUGUGGAUGAGAACCUGUUUGGGUGAGAGCGAUGGCAGUGGCUGUUUGGGUGGUGAGGAACCUAGCAAACAUAGUGCUUCAUUAGACUAAUUAAUUCUGCCCCAGGCACUGAUACAGGACAUAGAAGCUCUUCCUUACCCUCACGGAUGAAACCUAGUUGGGGAGCUUGCCAGUUAAUGGCAGAUAAGGACUGUACAGACAUGCCAAGUCGUGCAGUCUUGAUUAUUUUGUACCAAAGUAAAGUUCAUGGCAAAUCAACGUUUAAUUUUUAAUGUAAGCACUAAGAAUCAGAUUUUUCUGAGAAGGUUCCAAAGAGAUGAUAAAGCACAGUGUAAAAUACCUUUUUUUCUUAACACGUACCUACUGCUUAGCACCGUCCAUAUUAGCGUGGAAGACGCCUUUCUCAGUUCUCCAUACAGAUUCCAAAAGCGUUCUAAGGUUAAAGCAGUGGAACGAUAUGGAGACAAGCUGUGACAGUAGUUCCACCCAGUGACGCUCCCAUAAUCUUAAUAAAGAAGAAAUACUGACCCCUCCACCCCACCCCACCAAGAGGGCUCAGUGAUUUUCAGAGCAAUGAGUUUUGAGGUGUGAGACAUGACGUAAAGAAAUGUCACGACAUCUCUACAUCUUCCUCUCUUCAGGGGGCGAGACCAGCUGUUAUGAGGAUGCGGGGGCCCUGGGGUCCCAGGGCUGAGAGGCAGGUGUCAGCUUAGGGUGGAAGGAACGUUUUAACUGGAGCGCCCUCACUUACCAUAUUGUUAAGAUGACCCUGUGCGCAGAGAGGACAGGCCGCGGCGGGCAACCGCGUCUUUCCCUAGAUGCACGUUAGCAUAUUGGCUUGCACAGUUUGGGUUCCUAAAAUCAGUCUCACAUCAUAUUUGAUGUUACUGCUGCUUACAGAUACAGCUGUUGUGCCUGUCCAUGCAAAAAGAAUUUGGCCGCAUGCCAGAGGGAAAUUUAGCUAAUUCCUAAAUGCUGUCCUCUGUUGAAAAAUUUCCAAUUUGAGCUGCUGUGAAAGGAGGCCUCCACCAGCCUCUCACCAGAAGAUUGCUCAUUGGAACGCAAUGCCACCUGGUGGGGGACGAGGACAGUGCAAGCAAGCAGAUGUUAUUUCCUACUGACCUAAUUUAGAGAACAUUAAACGUAAGAGAGAGAACAUUGGGGUUGUAAGCCUGUGCCCGAAACCUUAAUGAAUGCAGGCAGCUGGCCAUAAAAGCAACUUGAGCCAUCCCCUCAUUCAGCAGUUGAAAUCUCAGUUUGUGUGUAAACACUUCAAAGGUUUCCUUUGGUCAUCACAGCUGGGGAGUGCAGAGGGAAUUCUCCCUCUCGUUUUAUAGGAAAGGAAUUUUGCGUUCAGCGAGAUGAAGUGCUGCAGACAGGCCUGUAAGGAAGCUCCGGCCUCUGCUUGAUGUCGGGGCUCACUUCCCAGCGCCACUUCCUGCCCCCACAGUGCUUCCGGCAGAGCCCAGGGCGGUGGCUUUUUGGAGCUGUGUCUUUAUGGAGCUGUGUGAGGUGAUAGGAGCCCACAGGCGGGAUGGCCGGGCGGCCUCUGGAUUCCUAGGAGGGCUGGACCAGGUCGUGGGCAUGCCUGGAACACAGGCCACGUCCUGUCCCAUAGGGAUGCCUCUUCCAUGUAUCUCUUGAAGGAUUUGAAGACGUGGGAUGGUGAAAAGUUUCCGGAGAGAAACAUUCAGGACUUUGAGAACGAGGCUUUCAGCAUUGGCCUAUCAGAUUGUCCCAAGUACCCCUUCUGCCCAUUGCCCCCAAGACACUCCACAGGCAAAGAUAAAUGGUGACAAAGUAACCUUCACAGAAACAAGAAUGGUCACCCCCACCCACUCCCAACAAGCCCUGCUGAAGGCAAAGCACACCACCAGGCUGCCUGGCAGUUACUGAGUGCUCACUCGUGCUAGCCUAUUGGAGUUAGGUCAUAUUUGUUGCCUGGUAACUUAAUUGAACCUUCCAUGCCUUCACAAAGUCAAUUGUACAAGAGAUGGCACCCACCACACUCCAUGUGACCUUUCUCGGGCUGGUGUUACAGAGUGGGGAUGACGACACUCACUUUGUAGAAUAGUUGCACAGAUUAAACCUGGCAAACACAUAAAGCACUCAAUGUCCAACACACGGUAGGCUCUGAAGAAGUUUGUCAUGCAGGUCACACUUGAAUGCCCAGUAUGGGCCCGACUUCAUCAGCUCAUUUCAGCCUCUACAGCCCUGUGAGGGAGGAACUCUGCCCUGUUUUACGGUUAGGGAAGUUGAGGCACAUAGGCUAAGAGUCGGCAUCCAAGGGCACAGAUGAUUGGGUGACAGUGAGCCCAGGCAGGGUGGCUACAAGGGUGCUGCCCCUUGCCACCUCUGACGAUUCGCGGGUGUGUCGGUGUGAGGUGCAGACAGCCCUGCAGUGACAUCCGGCGGGCAGGACUCCCAGGCAAGCUCUUCCGCGAACAUUCAUGGGCCACCAGCCCUUUCUUUCUGGAGCUUUCCUUUUUUUACCCGAAAGCCACAUGGAUGGUUGGUAAAUUGGUAUAAAAUUUGAACUAAGUCAUUUCAAAAGUUCCCUUUCGGUUCUGAAAUUCUGUGAAUUAAAGCCUGCUUUUUCACUUUAAAUGAUUUAUCGGGGUUUAAAAUUCUUUACCUUUUCACUUUCUGAUUUAACUGAUUUGAAGUCCUUAUUUUGUGUGUUGGGGAACACACCCGCAUCAGUCACAGCGUGGCUGUGGGAUGGGAGGCUGACGUUAGGCCGGCCAGUCACUAGGGGGCAGCAUCGGCCCGGGGCUGGCUGUCCCUGGCCUUCAGGAGCAGUUUCUGCCCCUCCUGCUCCGUCAGAAGGUCUCUGACUCCUCUGUACUUGCAUAUGUAAAGUUUUCAUUUUCAGAGGCUUUUUAGUCAAAAAAAUAAAUAAAUAAAGGUGUGUGACUUACUACCAAAGGAUACAAGUUAGGCACAGCUCUUGUGUUGGCUGCAUAAACCAAGGAGCAUCAACCUAACCCCCCCAAGCUAAGAAUGGCUUUUUGCAUCUUUACAUGGUUGAAAAAGGAAAAAGAAUUUUUAAUGACACUUGAAAAUUACAUGAAAUUCAAAUUUCAGUGUCUACAAAUAAAGUGCACUGGCACACAGCCCUCUUGCUUCUCUGCAUGUUGUCUGUGGGUGCUUUGUCUUACUCCAGCAAAGUGGAAUAAUGGGGACAGAGACCCUACGGCCCUUGAAGCCUGAAAUAUUUACCGUCCGUCCCUUACAGGAAAAGCUUGCCAUCGUCAGCCUUAUCUGCAGAAAGAUGCACUUGGCUUUAUCUUCAGGGUCCUGAUGUUCUGGGAGGAGGCGCUUUACCCUCCUUUGUGGGCUGUUUUCUUAGUGCAGUUAGUAGUGUCUGGUACUUAAGAAGGCACAGAGGCUGAGAGUGGGUGUCCAAGGGCCCAGAGCGGCUGACGGUGAAGUGAGCACAGGCCGUGUGCGGUACUGCGCGGUUAAGAAGCUGCAGGUUCUCAGGCACAGUCAGUCAUUGAGAAAACCAUGGCUGGGAGCUCAGCCUAGCCAGGGGCAUCCUAGUGCCAAGGAUCAGAAAGAGUGGGGGAGGGGAAUUCUGCCUUCAGGGAAUGGGGGAAGGAUUUUCAAAGGGUGCGUUUUAGUUGUGCCAAGAAAGAAGAAGUGAGAUUUUCCUUAGUGAAGAGGUGAGAGAUGGCAAAGGAAGCGGCAUGGCCCAAGGUGCACCCGGGAAGAGUAACUCGGAGGGUGCGCUGGGUUAGGGGAUGAGGCUGAGGGCAGUACUGCAGGAGGUGGAGGUAGGCAGGGACUGCAGGACCCCCCUUAACCGCGGGAGGGAGCCGGGAGAAGUGGGUCUCUAUGCACAGGCUGCAUUUGCGGUGCCUGAGGGCAUCUGGAAGACCCGUGGUUCUCCAAGAGUGGUCGCUGAGUCACUUGCAACAGAGUCACCUAAUGGGCUUCAGUGGAAAGACAGACUCCCUGACUCCCUCUCCCCGCCAAACACACUCCUACAGCGUGGAGGUUUCCAGUGGAAGCAGAGCCAUCAAAGAAGGCUGAGUGUGAGAAUUCAGAGACACUGGAGAUCUGGAGAAUGUGCCUCAAAAACAAACAAAAAAAAGAUUUCAAGAAUGAAGUGGUUGUGUGGUGGUCACAUGCAGUGGAGGAAUAUUUACUGCAGAUAUCACAUGCCGAUAAGGAAUGAGUCACUGACAGUAAGAAGACAGGUGCUGGGAGAUGGGGGCAGCGGGGCGGGGUCGGGGGAGGAGGGCAGGACUGGAGGAAGAUGCCCAGGUGGAUGGGAGCUGUGAAGGCAGAGUUGCCCCUUGUACUUGGGGUGGGUGGGGGAUGGCCUGAUGGUAUUCUUUAUCCUGGCGACACCAGGGGAGGCAGGCACUGCGGAGAGUGACCGAGGUCUGAGACUGCUGCUUGGAUCAGGGAGCCAAGGGACACUGAGUAAAACCGCAUCCCUGAGGUCCGCUGAGAUUGAAACCAUGGAUUUGAGGUGUGGUCAGUCACACCACAGCUUAGGAAUCAUUCCUUUCUAAUAAUGUAGGAAGCCAGGGACAGGUUAGGAUGAUUUGGGAUGGAGAUAUACGGGGUCCCUGCAGAGGCCUCGUGUUGAGUUCCUCACUGCCCUUGCUGGUUCAACUACCCCUUUUGGGCUUUCACUUCUCUCCUGUCACUCUCCCCACAAACCCUUUCCUGCCUCUGCCACACGCGGAAAGCCUCGUCAGGGGCGCUGCCUCCAGCUGCCAGCGUUGCACUUCCGCGCCCUGCGCGCCUGUUCCCUGCAGCCACGUUUGGCCCAUCCCAAGGAUCCUGCUGCCUCUGGGCCUCUUGAGCCUUCACAUUUUCCCGGCUCUUGUUUUGGUCCCAGCUUCUAGGUCACUGUUCCCAGACUAAGUGGGGAAGGGACUUGCCCCAGAGACCCAAAUCUUGCACACAAGUCACUAAUAAGUCUGUGGUAACUCACAUCAAUCAAACCAGAGACAGAAAAGAGUUCCCUGGGCAGGUCAGGGAAGUUGUUUUCCUACCUAGACUGUGUGUGCAUCAGGCAGCAAGCUGAAGCUGCACCCCAGCAGCAAAGCUUCCAGAAAACUCCAUUUGGGCUUAAUUUAGUUUGUGCAAAUAUGAAAAGGUAAGUGGCUGAAAUGUGCCUUUAACUAACGGGAGGGGUGACAGGAGGGAGGGCAGUUUGCUAAACAUAGGAACAUGAUUUCUAGGGAAAUGUUUAAACCGUUAGGACAGGGAUCGUGCCUAUGAUCACUUUGGGCAGCUGGGGUAGGGGGGAUGGCUUGAGGCCAGGCGUUCAAGACCAGCCCAGGCAA